rnacentral:rRNA from 1 species
GAGUUUGAUCCUGGCUCAGAUUGAACGCUGGCGGCAUGGCUAAAACAUGCAAGUCGAACGAGAAAGCACUUCGGUGCGAGUACAGUGGCGAAAGGGCGAGUAACGCGUACCUAACGUACCUCCAGGUGAGGGAUAGCUCGGGGAAACCCGUGGUAAUACCUCAUAACCCCGUAAUGUCGUAUGGCAAAUCGGGCAAAGGCUUGCUGCCUGGAGAUCGGGGUGCGUCCUAUCAGCUUGUUGGUGAGGUAACGGCUCACCAAGGCUUAGACGGGUAGCGGGUGUGAGAGCAUGACCCGCCGCAUCGGGACUGAGACACUGCCCGGACUCCUACGGGAGGCUGCAGUAACGAAUAUUCCGCAAUGCGCGAAAGCGUGACGGAGCAAUGCCGCGUGUGGGAUGAAGCAUCUAGGUGUGUAAACCACUGUCAGGGUUUAGGAAACAAAUGACCAGAACCCAAAGGAAGAGCCGGCUAACUCUGUGCCAGCAGCCGCGGUAAUACAGAGGGCUCAAGCGUUAAUCGGAAUCACUGGGCUUAAAGGGUCCGCAGGCGGGUUGGAAAGUAUCUUGUGAAAUACCACGGCUCAACCGUGGAAUUGCUCGGUAAACUUCCAACCUUGAACACGACAGGGGCUAUCAGAACUCUAGGUGGAGCGGUGAAAUGCGUAGAUAUCUAGAGGAAUGCCAGAGGCGAAGGCGGAUAGCUGGGUCGUUGUUGACGCUCAGGGACGAAAGCGUGGGUAGCGAACGGGAUUAGAUACCCCGGUAGUCCACGCCGUAAACGAUGUGCACUAGAUUGCGGAGGUUUUGACGCCAUCCGCGAUCGAAGCAAAAGUAUUAAGUGCACCGCCUGGGGAGUACGGUCGCAAGGCUAAAACUCAAAGGAAUUGACGG